AGAACGAACGCUGGCGGCAUGCCUAAUACAUGCAAGUCGAACGAACACUUCGGUGUUAGUGGCGCACGGGUGCGUAACGCGUGGGAAUCUGCCCUUGGGUUCGGAAUAACAGUUGGAAACGACUGCUAAUACCGGAUGAUAUCGAAAGAUCAAAGAUUUAUCGCCCAGGGAUGAGCCCGCGUAGGAUUAGCUAGUUGGUGAGGUAAAGGCUCACCAAGGCGACGAUCCUUAGCUGGUCUGAGAGGAUGAUCGGCCACACUGGGACUGAGACACGGCCCAGACUCCUACGGGAGCAGCAGUAGGGAAUAUUGGACAAGUGGGCGCAAGCCUGAUCCAGCAAUCGCCGCGUGAGUGAUGAAGGCCUUAGGGUUGUAAAGCUCUUUUACCGAGAUGAUAAUGACAGUAUCGGGAAGAAUAACGCCCCGACUAACGUCCGU
rnacentral:rRNA from 1 species